ensembl:lncRNA
CCCAAAGAGUGUCCUCCCGUGGAUACGCCCACAGCAGCACCUGGGCAGGAUCAUACAACUCCACCUCUGACCAGCAGGAAAUGGGUUUGAGCCACGAGAGGCAGACACCAUCUCAGCAGCCCGACCCCGCCACGUCCUCUCCAGCUGACCGACAGGUGGACAGUCAUCCCGACGUGAGAGGAUCCUCUCCACCCGUCCUCCCUGGCGCUCUCUCUCUCUCUCUCUCUCAGAAUGGAAAUGUGAGACGCAGUGAGACGAGGCCGGUGACUACGUUACUCCAACGGGCCAAUCAGAGCGUGGCACAUCUGGAGGAAUCUGUCUGCAGGCCCAGCUGGAAGCACUACAGGAGACAGCAGAGGAGAGGAGAGGAGGAACAUGUGAGAUUCAAGAUGGCUGAGGGAUUAAAUGAAAUAAAAGGA